GACGAACGCUGGCGGCGUGCUUAAUACAUGCAAGUCGAACGGAAAGGCCCUGCUUUUGUGGGGUGCACCAUUGGCGAAGGGUUGAGAACGAGUGAGUUAACCUGCCGUUACCUUUGUGAUAGCUGCGGAAAACUGGGGCAAAUGCUGGAUAGGACCUCCUGCUGUUUGUUGUGGCUUGAAAAUUUUCGGCGGGUGGGGAUGGACUCGCGGCUUAUCAGCUUUUUGUUGGGGUAGUGAGUUACUAAGGUUUUGACGGGUAGCCGGACUGAGAGGGUGACGCGCCACAGUGGGACUCAGAAGGGGCCCAGACUCCUACGGGAGGCAGCGGUGGGGAACAUUGCAAGAUGGGCGGAAGCCUGAUGCAGCAACGCCGCGUGCGGGAUGACGGCUUUCGGGUUGUAAACCGCUUUCGCCUGUGACGAACAGUGAGUGACGGUAAUUUGUAAAGAAGCACCGGCUAACUACGUG
rnacentral:rRNA from 1 species